ensembl:lncRNA novel transcript
GCAACCUAGCUUAAAGGAUCCUCAUAGACUGCAGCGACGAUUCUGUGCACAGACUAAGGAAGGAGAAGCUGCAGGAACCGAGUCUUGCUCUGUCACCCAGGCUGGAGUACAGGCACUAUCUCGGCUCACUGCAACUCCUGCUUCCCAGGCUCAAGCAAUUCUCCUGCCUCAGCCUCCUGAGUAGCUGGGAUUACAGUGGAUGCUCCCACACCAGGUUCAUUUUUGUAUUUUAGUAGAGACAGGGUUACACCAUGUUGUCCAAGCUGGUCUCAAACUCCUGUCAGUGAUUCUUAAGUGAUCUACCAAGACUCUAUGGGUGUUUCUUUAUGACAAUGCAAAAUGGACUAACAGAGGUGAUCACAUUGAUAGGAGGGAUAAAAUCAUUUGAGGUGAAGAAGUUAAGGAACUGAGGGUCAAGAUGCUUGAAGAAUAGUCAUCAUGGAUGUUUACAUCACUAUAAAUUAUGAAAGA